AAGCUACUCAAAUAAAGCAUAUGGUGGAUGCCUUGGCAUAAUGUGCCGAAGAAGGACGUAAUAAGCCGCGAUAGUCGUCGGUGAGGAGCUAAUAUCCUUUGACCCGGCGGUGUCCGAAUGGGGUAACCCCGGUUCGUGUAAACGGACUGGACCGAGAGAUUUAUCUUUCGGUCGGUAACCCGGAGAACUGAAACAUCUAAGUACCCGGAGGAAAAGAAAUCGAAUGAGAUUUCCUUAGUAGCGGUGAGCGAAAAGGAAAUAGCCUAAACCCAUAUUUAUAUGGGUGUUGCAGGACCAGAUAUAUGAUGUUGUUUCGAUAGAAGAACACCGUGGAAUAGGUGGCCAUAGAGAGUGACAGCCUCGUAAUCGAAAUUGAAGCAACAUUAAUUUGGCACCUAAGUACGUUGGGAGACGGCAAACUCCCUGCGGAAUCCGCCCCGACCACGGGGCAAGGCUAAAUACACAUUAUGACCGAUAGUGAACGAGUACCGUGAGGGAAAGGUGAAAAGAUGGGUGAGACACCCAGUGAAAUAGUACCUGAAACCGUAUGCUAACAAACAGUAUCGUCACGGAGGCGUAGUGAAAGCGAGGAUGAAUAGUCCGUUUAGCAGUGCGUCCAAGACCCGAAACCGGUGUGAGCUAACCAUGAGCAGGGUGAACUGUGAGUAAAAUCACAGGAAGGCCCGAACCAGUAACUGCUGCAAAAGUUUUGGAUGACUUGUGGUUAGGGGUAAUAUGCCAAUCGAACCCGGAGAUAGCUGGUUCUCCCCGAAAUAUAUUUAGGUAUAGCCUUGAGUAAUUGCAUGCGUGGGGGUAGAGCACUGAAAAGGUAUAGUGAAGCAAUUCAUUGUACUUUAUCAAACUCCGAAUACCAUGUAUGUUUAUCUCAGGAGUCAGUCCUUGGGAGCUAAGUUCCAGGGGCAAAAGGGAAACAACCCAGAUCGUCAAUUAAGGUCUCAAAAUCAUAGCUAAGUGGCUCAAGGAAGUCAUAAUCCAUAUACAGCUAGGAGGUCGGCUCAGAAGCAGCCAUCCUUGAAAGAAAGCGUAACAGCUCACUAGUCUCGGAUUGUGGCGCCGAAGAUCCAACGAGGCUCAAGCUAUGUACCGAAAUUACGGAUUGUCACACAUUUAUGUGUGAUUCUGGUAGGGGAGCGUUCUAACAGCAGUGAAGUCGUUUUGUAAGAAACGGUGGAGCGGUUAGAAGUGAGAAUGGCGGGAUGAGUAGCGAGAUGGAGGUGAGAAUCCUCCACACCGUAUGUUCCAGGUUUCCCACGCAACGUUCGUCGGCGUGGGGUUAGGCGGCCCUAAGGUGAGGCUGGUGUAAUGCCGGCGUAGCCGAUGGAUUACCGGUUGAUAUUCCGGUUCUCUAGGGCGUUCGUUAUCAGCUUGGGGAGGGACGGUUUAGGAAGAGCGGGGCGCAUUACAUGAAUUUGCGUCCAAUCGCUGAGGCAGUUGGCUAUAGGAAAAUCCGUAGCCGGCGUUACAACCCGAGGUGUUAUGGGGAAUGUGGACCUUGUGUCCGCGUGACUCCGCAACCUUUCUGAAUCCAAGAAAAUCUUCAUGAGCGAGAAUGUUUUAGAUCCGUACCGCAAACCGACACAGGUGAACUGGUAGAGUAUACCAAGGUGAGCGAGAGAACCUUCCUUAAGGAACUCGGCAAAUUAGCUAGGCGUAACUUAGGGAGAUGCCUAACCUGUUUUUUUGGUACUUGUAUCAAAAAAAUGGGUCGCAGAUAAAGACUAUGAGGUGACUGUUUAACAAAAACACAGGUCUGUGCGAAGACGUAAGUCAACGUAUACGGGCUGAGGCCUGCCCAGUGCCAGAAGGUUAACUGAGAGGGUAACCCCGACUUGUUCGGGAUAGCCUUUGAUUGAAGCCCUGGUGAACGGCAGCAGUAACUAUAACUGUUCUAUGGUUCAGCAGGAAAGACUCAAUCCAUGGUGGAUUGUCGGUUUUGUAGAUGGUGAAGGUUGUUUCUCUGUGAGUACGUUCAAAAACGAUACGUGCUCAAGUGGUUAUCAAACUCUUUUUGAGUUUGUCAUCACUCAGGGAGAAAAGAGCCGUUCCUCACUCGAACAAAUCGAAAGAUUUUUUCAGUGCGGGCACAUUUACAUUAAUCAUCGACAUGAUAAUCACCAUGAAAAUAUAUUGCGAUAUUGUGUGAGGCGGCAAACUGAUCUUAAAAAGAUCAUAAUUCCGUUUUUUACUAAAUAUCAGCUUUAUACAACUAAACGUCAGCAAUUUGAAAAUUUCUGUCGCAAGUUGAACGAAAGAGUAUCCCCAGAGACUAUACGCAAAGCAUCGCGAAAGCGUAAAGAUAUAGUCCGAUCUCAUGAGCGAUCAUGAGUCAACAAUUUAGAGCGAAAUUCCUUGUCGGGCAAGUUCCGACCUGCACGAAUGGCGUAACAAUCUCAUGACUGUCUUGAGGAGGGACUCGGCGAAAUUGAAAUGGCUGUGAAGAUGCGGCCUACUGGUAACAGGACAAAAAGACCCCGUGGAGCUUUACUGUACCUUG
rfam:Microgenomates bacterium GW2011_GWC1_46_16 TX38_C0019, whole genome shotgun sequence.